CAGAGUUGCAAAACUCCCUAAACCCACUGUGAAUCUACCUGUUUUUAGCUACUUCGGCAGGCGGCCCCAGGGCGGGGCCAUUAGCCUUUUAGGUGCCUGCCAGAGUAUACAUAACUCUUGUUGCAACUGUACUACUCUGAGUUUCAAAACAAUUCAAGUUA
rnacentral:misc_RNA from 1 species